UUUGACGUUAGCUGCAGAAGAAGCACCGGCUAACUCCGUGCCAGCAGCCGCGGUAAUACGGAGGGUGCGAGCGUUAAUCGGAAUUACUGGGCGUAAAGCGCAUGCAGGUGGUUUGUUAAGUCAGAUGUGAAAGCCCGGGGCUCAACCUCGGAAUUGCAUUUGAAACUGGCAGGCUAGAGUACUGUAGAGGGGGGUAGAAUUUCAGGUGUAGCGGUGAAAUGCGUAGAGAUCUGAAGGAAUACCGGUGGCGAAGGCGGCCCCCUGGACAGAUACUGACACUCAGAUGCGAAAGCGUGGGGAGCAAACAGGAUUAGAUACCCUGGUAGUCCACGCCGUAAACGAUGUCUACUUGGAGGUUGUGGCCUUGAGCCGUGGCUUUCGGAGCUAACGCGUUAAGUAGACCGCCUGGGGAGUACGGUCGCAAGAUUAAAACUCAAAUGAAUUGACGGGGGCCCGCACAAGCGGUGGAGCAUGUGGUUUAAUUCGAUGCAACGCGAAGAACCUUACCUACUCUUGACAUCCAGAGAACUUAGCAGAGAUGCUUUGGUGCCUUCGGGAACUCUGAGACAGGUGCUGCAUGGCUGUCGUCAGCUCGUGUUGUGAAAUGUUGGGUUAAGUCCCGCAACGAGCGCAACCCUUAUCCUUGUUUGCCAGCGAGUAAUGUCGGGAACUCCAGGGAGACUGCCGGUGAUAAACCGGAGGAAGGUGGGGACGACGUCAAGUCAUCAUGGCCCUUACGAGUAGGGCUACACACGUGCUACAAUGGCGCAUACAGAGGGCGGCCAACUUGCGAAAGUGAGCGAAUCCCAAAAAGUGCGUCGUAGUCCGGAUUGGAGUCUGCAACUCGACUCCAUGAAGUCGGAAUCGCUAGUAAUCGUGAAUCAGAAUGUCACGGUGAAUACGUUCCCGGGCCUUGUACACACCGCCCGUCACACCAUGGGAGUGGGCUGCAAAAGAAGCAGGUAGUUUAACCUUCGGGAGGACGCUUGCCACUUUGUGGUUCAUGACUGGGGUGAAGUCGUAACAAGGUAGCGCUAGGGGAACCUGGCGCUGGAUCACCUCCUUA
rnacentral:rRNA from 1 species